AUUGAAGGUCACAAUUUUUUAUAUUUUUAUUCCACUACAAUCUGUUAGCAGAUGCUUGUCUAGAUCACGCACCUAUCAUGGAUAAAUUUCUUAUCAAUCUAAAACCAAUUUAUUAAGCAAAAUGGAUGAUGAUAAAUCUGCAACAAAAACACAAACAACAACUGAUAAAUCAUCUGUCAAUGAUCAAACACAGAUAAUAAUACAAAAAUACAAGAUAUUGGUUGGUCCAAAGAACUACUGCAUGGAAUAACAACAAAUUGUGAAACUAGUUGUAAACAAGUUGUUGACAAUCAAGCUGUAACACAACAACCACUUAUUAAUUAUAAUAAUAAUUUUGAAAAUAUUAAUAACAAUAAUAAUAGGACUUCGGAAAGUUGUUGUUUAAAAACAUUAUUGUGUUGUAAUGAUUUUAUUGAAUGUUGUAAAAUGUGUGCUGAUAUAAUAAGUUGUUGUUGUCAUUUAAUUUCGAAAAUUAAUGACGAUUAAAAUAUCAACAAAUUAUCAUCAACAUCUUCAUAUAAAAAACAAGCAUUAUUUAAAUUAUCAAAAGUUUUUAAUUGUCAACAAUAAUAAGUUUUAGUUUUUAUUUUAAACAAAAAUUAAUUAUGUUAAAAUUUGAGUCACAAUAUUGACCUCAAUAUAUUUUUAAAAAUAAUAUUCUAGACUUGUAGAUGAUAUCAUUAUGUGAUGUCAUUAGCAUUUAUAAUAAUAAAAAAUUAUUAUUAUUUAUGUAUUAAAAUUGUAUUUUAGGUUAUAAUUUUUCUACAAAAACAAAACAAAAACAUCAGUGAAUUAAUAAUUCUAAUCAAGUGACAAUAUUAAAAUUAAAAAUGACAACACAAUAUCAAACAGAUGGAUCAACAAAUUACAAGUAAAUAAUUUAAUAUUUUAAAUAUUUCUUUUUGCUGAAUAAUAAUUUUUAUUUCAAGUUUAACAACAAACAUGGAUCCAAUAUUAAAACCUGAUUCAUCAAAUGAAACAUCAUCAACGAGAAAAAAUUUAUUUGAUUUAUCAACUGGUACUGAUGAUGUUAUCACUCAACAACCGCGUUUAAAUUCAACAAUAAAUAAUGGUGAAACAAUAAAAAUAACAAAUGAUAAUCAAAAAAAAGAUUCUUGUUGCAAUUCAUGUAUUGAGGCAACAAUAAAAUGUUGUUGUGAAUGUUGCACUGAGCUUAUGCAAUCAUCAGCAUUUCCAUGUUGUUGCUUCAUAUGUUGUCUAGCUGGAGAAUCAAAUUAAAAUAUAAACAUAAAUAAAACAACUGCCAUUACAAUAAUUUUUUGUUACUAAAAAAUGAAAAUCAAUUUUUCUAUUAUAUAUUUUUACAAAUAAUUUAAUCACGUUAAUAUUUUUUAUAAAAUUUUAUAAACCAGAUAUAUUUUUUCACAAAAAAAAAAAAAAAAAGUAUUUCCUUGUUGACAAUAUUGUAUAUUUAUUUUUUUUUUUUUUUUUUACAAUUUAUUAUAAUAUCAGUAUCUAAAAAUGUUUUAUUAAUAAAAAAUUUAGUAUAUAUAAAAUAAUUGAUGAAUAAAUAAACAUGAAUAUUUAGUUGACAAUUAACUGUUGUUAUUAUUAAAAUAAAAAUUAAUAUUCAAUAAUAAAAUACGGUAACAAAAACAAUAAUUAAAAAAAAAAAAAUAUGCUAAUACUUUUUGAGAAUGUAUCAUUUUCUUUUUUUUUUAAUCUCGAUAAUAUAUUGAUAUAAAUUCAGUGAGAUAUGUAUAUAUACAGUGGUCCAUUAAAUUAAAAAAAAAAAAAAAAUUGUUUAAUAAAUUUUGUAUAUAUUGUUAAUAUAUAAAAUUGUUAAAAGAAAAAUUUAAACAAAUAUAAAACAGGUAGAGAUUCAAUUUGCACCUUUUAUCAAAUUUAAAAAAUUUCUUUUGAUUGAGUUUUUAUUACACAGUAAUAAUAUUGUUUUUGUAAUUAUAUAUAUAUUUUUUUAUAAAGGUGUAAUAUUGAAUGGUCGAUGCGUAUUCUCUUCUCAAUAAAAAAUAAUUAAGUACCAACGUUUAUAAUUUGUUGAUAAUAAUUUAAUUUUAAUAAUAAAAAUUUGUAUAAUAAUAAUAAAAA